rnacentral:rRNA from 1 species
CACAUGCAAGUCGAGCGCCCCGCAAGGGGAGCGGCAGACGGGUGAGUAACGCGUGGGAACGUACCCUUUACUACGGAAUAACGCAGGGAAACUUGUGCUAAUACCGUAUGUGCCCUUCGGGGGAAAGAUUUAUCGGUAAGGGAUCGGCCCGCGUUGGAUUAGCUAGUUGGUGGGGUAAAGGCCUACCAAGGCGACGAUCCAUAGCUGGUCUGAGAGGAUGAUCAGCCACAUUGGGACUGAGACACGGCCCAAACUCCUACG